UACGUAGGGGGCAAGCGUUGUCCGGAAUCACUGGGCGUAAAGGGCGCGUAGGCGGCCUGGUAAGUAGGGGGUGAAAUCCUGCGGCUUAACCGCAGGGCUGCCUUCUAAACUGUCAGGCUUGAGCACGGUAGAGGCAGAUGGAAUUCCCGGUGUAGCGGUGGAAUGCGUAGAGAUCGGGAAGAACAUCAGUGGCGAAGGCGGUCUGCUGGGCCGUUGCUGACGCUGAGGCGCGACAGCGUGGGGAGCAAACAGG
rnacentral:rRNA from 1 species